GCUCCUCCUUUACGCUGAGGUAUUACUUGUGCAAUUCAAGUUUCUCU
rnacentral:tRNA from 1 species